UGAUGCGACAAAGCCGAAGGAAACUGAGCUACACAUCUCUUCGUGCAGGAUUCGGAUCAACGGUUAAAAAUGGCUAUUCGGAAUAAUGACACCUCAGCGAUCCGCGUGAAGCAAAAAUCAUCAAAAGUGCUUCAUUCUUUUUUUCUUCCCACGAACGGAUCCGCGUGAAACAAAAAUCUUCAAAACUUUUUCAGGCUUUCUCCUCCACGCUUGAAGAGUCGUUCAUUGCUGGCGAUUUCCUCAACCUCCUUCCUUCCUAUCCACCUUCCUCUUCUCGUAAGUGGGCGGAACCAGAGGUUGAUUCCGGCAGCCAGAAGCAGAGGUGGGGCGGUUCACAGCAUCUUUGAGGUGAAAGUGACGGUGUUGAUGUGGUCCUUGUCCGGGGAGAUCGGGAAUCGGGUCUCCACGAGGCAGAAGCACUUGAAGUAGUUGUGGAGGAGGUCGCGUCGGGCGGUGGGGGUAGGUUCGGAGGUCGUCGUCGAGGUUCUGGGCCUCCUUGCCGCCGUCUUUUUAACCCCAAUUUCUCUUCCCCAAACACACACUCGUCAAGGUUCUGGGCCUCCUUUCGUCCUCUGUUUAUUUUGGGUUUGCGAUUCUGGUAUGGUUGAGUUGCUUUGGCUGUUUUGAUGAGGAUUGGAGGGUUGCUCUUUUGUGGAAUGCUGGUAUUUUGUGAUUUUUGCUGCUGCUGCUCUGAUUGAUAGUCUUGCUGUUUUAAAGAAGUAGAUGUUGAAUUCGACUGUUUUGAACUUUGCAUCACAAUUACUUCCUGGCUUUUCCUUUCCAAAUCAAGAGGUUCAGAUCCUGUGGUGUUUUACAGGGUUCAAGUUGGUACUCUUGAAGGCUCUUAUGGUUGCAUUUGUCAUGAGCUUUUUGGUGUUGGAUGUACUCGUGUUCUGUCCAAUAUUGCACUACUACUGGAUCCCAGAAAAGAAAGAAAAGGAUGCUAAAGACGUGCAUCCUUCAUUGUUGAAGGAGAAAUGAGAAAUUUCAGGCAGAAGGUUCACUGUUGACCAUCACUUCUGUGAAAUCUCGUCUUACAGGGAGUUCUACUUGGACUCACGGAAGUCGUGUUUAAUUGAAAGAGGUCUCCUUAUUCUACAAGAAGUCGUGCAGCAGCUCCUUGGAAAAUGAAUGAUUGAUUCAAUUAUAAGUAGUAGUUUUCUUAUGGAUUUCAAUAAGUCGAUCUUUAUUUAAAGAUGUGCUCCAAUUAUCCAUUUUUAUGAAAUUUGCAUUCUAAAGUA